CUGAUGGAUUGUUAACAGGUUGGGUGAUUUUUGCACCUUUCACCUGUUGAUCUUGGCAUCUUUGCUUUUCUCUAGUUGUCAGCAUCAGAUGUGCUCACUGUCAUUUUCAGCAUCCGAAAGGUAUCUGCCUUGAGCGGAAACGUCCUUGCAGAUUGCACGUGGGGAAGUCUUGCUACAAACAGACCAUCUACUUUGGUAUGUAAUGACAGGACCACAGAAUGAUAGACUCAUCGCAUUGUAGAGGUGGGACCCUAAAAGUCAUCUAGCCCAACCCCUGCAAUGCAGGCAACACAGCUAAAGAAUCCCAGACAGAUGGCCACCCCAACGUCAGUUUAAAAACCUCCAGUGAUUGAGGGUCCACCACCAUCCAAGGGAGUUCAUUCCACUGUCAGACAGUUCUUGGCAUCAGAAAGUUCUUCCUAUUGUUAAGUCAGAACCUUCUUUCUUGACAUUUGAAUCCAUUUGGUUUGGGUCCUACCCUCUGGAGCAGCCAUUUAGAUCUUUGAAUAGUUACCAAAUUGGAAACUGCUUUACACUGAAUCAUACUAUUGGUCCAGCUGGCUCAAUCUCCUGGUAGACCUUACGGUCUUCAAAUAAAAACAUCUUGGAGAUCCUGGGCCACAGGGAGGUUAGGCUGGCCUCAACCAGAGCCAGGGCUUUUUCGGCUGUGGCCCUGAUCUGGUGGAACGCUCUGUCACAAGAGACUAGGGCCCUGCGGGACUUGACAUCUUUCCGCAGGGCCUUCAAGACAGAGCUGUUCCACCAGGCCUUUGGCCAAGGCACAGUCUGAUCCCCUCCUUCUGUAAUCCUCCAAGAACUCUAGCCCAAUGGUUGCCAUUAAUUUGACUCUGAAUUGAUUUUAGAAUGUAUUUCAAUUAAUUGAUUGUGUUAUUUUUACUGUUGUUAGCCACUCUGAGCCCAGCUUUGGCUGGGGAGGGCGGGAUAUAAAUAAAAUUUUUAUUAAUAAUAAUAAUAAUAAUAAUAAUAAUAAUACCUGCACUGACUGGCAGUAGCUUUCCAACCUUUCAGCCAAAAGUCUCAUUCCAUCCUACUCAGGGAUCCCAGGAAUUGAACAUGAGAUUUAUGCAUGCAACACGGCUGCUCUACCACUGAACUGCAGCCUUUCCCCAGGUCAAUACAGUCAUUUUGAAUGAAUGGUCAGACAUGUCACAGUGGUUCCCUUGUGUACAAUUUGUGGAGAAAGUGUGCUUUGGCGCAUUUGCUGUGCGCUCUUGCAAUCAUGGGGCAGUUGCAGUCAAGAACGUAAUGGACUGGGCUUCUCAGUCCAAGAAAUUACUGGACAUGCUUGAUGCAUGCUACCUGUAAACUGUAACUUAAAUGCAGGGAUUAAGUGGUGGUGUGGUGCAGUCCUCUGAAGACAGGAUGUCCUCUCUCCUAAUCAGGGCUGCUGUCUGCUCAGAAGUAAAAAUAGCAGCCUCCUCUAUUCACGUUGGUUAAUCACCCACUCUGUCUUGCACAUGAAGAUGAGAAUGGUCACCUGCUAAUGCUUGCAUCCCAUGUUGUUCAGGAGCACAGGCUGAUAAAAGUGGCAACCUUACCAACUCUCCAAGCCUGAAACAAUGGUACAAAAAUGAGAGAGGCACUAGCUUGGUUUACUAUUAUCCAUAGAUGUCGUGGUCCCACUAAUCAAUCUUCUUCUACAGGAAAUACUCUUCUCUUUUCCAAGAAGGGCUGCAGCACCCAAUGUGUUAAUGUUCAAGAAAAGCCAGCAGAGAAUACCAUCACCCAAACUUUCAAAUGCUGCUCUAAUAGAAGUUUCUGCAAUCUCUAAGUGGUGUUGAGCAGCAGCAAAGCAUCUGCUUUCUGAAUGAAGUUUUGAGGGUUAGAAGCUUCUAUAGGCCUCUUCCAUGAAUACCUCCCAAUCGCAAGACCAAACUAGAGGCCAUGAUCCCUGAUAAGGUCUCUCAUGUUUUAAAAAUUUGGCAAAUAGUAGCUAUACCAAGGAAGAAGAGGAGAUGGAGAUUCAGGUCUGUUGUAAGGAACGGCAAAGAGAUUUAACACUUCUCCUGAACCCUAUUUUCCAAAGGACAAUCAAGAUCCAGCUUCCGCCUUCAGCUGCCUCAUUACCAAAAACUUUGACAUACACAAUCAUUUGAUUUAUUGAGCAGAAUUUGUUCACUGCUCAACUGUAAAGAAAGCCUAUAAGCAGUUUAUGGAGAAUAUAAAAUUUAAGUUUGCCAGUGCAUCAAAUAAACAGCAAACGUCAAA
rnacentral:lncRNA from 1 species